rnacentral:rRNA from 1 species
ACCCUUCGGGUUAGUGGCGGACGGGUGAGUAACGCGUGGGAAUCUGCCCUCAGGAGGGGGAUAACGGCUGGAAACGGCCGCUAAUACCCCAUAUGCCGAGAGGUGAAAUGAAUUUCGCCUGAGGAUGAGCCCGCGUCUGAUUAGCUAGUUGGUGAGGUAAGAGCUCACCAAGGCAUCGAUCAGUAGCUGGUCUGAGAGGAUGAUCAGCCACACUGGGACUGAGACACGGCCCAGACUCCUACGGGAGGCAGCAGUGGGGAAUUUUCCGCAAUGGGCGAAAGCCUGACGGAGCAACGCCGCGUGAGGGAUGAAGGCCUCUGGGCUGUAAACCUCUUUUCUCAAGGAAGAAGAUCUGACGGUACUUGAGGAAUAAGCCACGGCUAAUUCCGUGCCAGCAGCCGCGGUAAUACGGGAGUGGCAAGCGUUAUCCGGAAUUAUUGGGCGUAAAGCGUCCGCAGGCGGCCCUUCAAGUCUGCUGUUAAAACGUGGAGCUUAACUCCAUCAUGGCAGUGGAAACUGUUGGGCUUGAGUGUGGUAGGGGCAGAGGGAAUUCCCGGUGUAGCGGUGAAAUGCGUAGAUAUCGGGAAGAACACCAGUGGCGAAGGCGCUCUGCUGGGCCAUAACUGACGCUCAUGGACGAAAGCCAGGGGAGCGAAAGGGAUUAGAUACCCCUGUAGUCCUGGCCGUAAACGAUGAACACUAGGUGUCGGGGGAAUCGACCCCCUCGGUGUCGUAGCCAACGCGUUAAGUGUUCCGCCUGGGGAGUACGCACGCAAGUGUGAAACUCAAAGGAAUUGACGGGGGCCCGCACAAGCGGUGGAGUAUGUGGUUUAAUUCGAUGCAACGCGAAGAACCUUACCAGGGUUUGACAUCCUGCGAACCUCUUGGAAACGAGAGGGUGCCUUCGGGAACGC